GACAGGAUGGCCGAGUGGUUAAGGCGGCAGUUUUGAAUGGUCGUCCAUCACGGGAGACACAGUAGCUGCUUCACUUUGUGAGCGUGAGUUCAAACCUCACUCCUGUCG
rnacentral:tRNA from 1 species